AGUGGGAUAGCUGGGUCAUAUGGUAGAGAUUUUUGAGGAAUAUGCAUAUUUCUUUCCAGAGUGGUUGUACUAAUUUGCAGUCCCUCCAACAAU
rnacentral:pre_miRNA from 1 species